UGACACUAAGUUAUUAUAAAUUCUACAGCAAAAAUCAUUCUAAUAUGUCAAGAAAAUUGUAUAAUGUAUUUUAUUAAUUCUUACUCAUGAUCGCUACGGUCAACUUUAGACCUAAACCCAAUGUCUUCAAAAAUCACUCUAUUUACAACCUAUACCAGAAUACACAGAAUUUUAACAAAAACUCCUACUGUUUUUAAUAAAUAACUUUUAAAAUUUCCAACAUUCCUAGUAAGCGUUACUAUUACCCAGGAAUGUUGAUAUAUCAUGCUUUGAUAUNUUAUACUUUUCACUAACAAAAUCAACAACAAAAUGUAUAGAAUAUACAAAAUGUACAAAAUGUUUAGAUAAUACAGAAAACUGUUCCAUUAUUUAAUACAGAAUUCACAAAUUAAAUUAAUGUUAUAAUAUUUUAUAUUAUGUGCCGGCUACAAAUUUAUAUGUAAAAGGUUAAUUUUUAUUUUUAUUUUUAU